CCCAACAAGGUGUGCCUUUCUGACAAUCAACCUUUCAGUCAUUGUACUAUACAGUUUUCGUUGGAGGCUACACUGAAUUGAGUUGAAGUAGCUUAGUGGUAAAGCACAUUUGCAUGCAGGAGGUCCCAAGCUGAGGACUGGCAAAGAUUCCUGUCUACAGUGCGGGAGAGCUAUUUCCAGUCAGUGUCCAUAAUACUGAGCUAGAUGGGUCAAUGUUCUGACUUGGAAUGAAACACCUUCCUAUGUUCCCAUUGGUGCAAAUCAGGGAGGUCAGCCAGAUAAUGGCCAAAGGUAUAUAUCUAAUAUUUAUGGUGUUCUCAAAUAGGCAAUCCCCAUGCAGCUGCACUGUGUUGGAGAGGUUUUCUGGGCAUGUUCUAGUUUGGACGCACAGUGAAGCUUCACCAUGAAGCUUCACCAUUGCCACAGAUGAACUUAAAACGUGUGCUAGGACACCUCUAGCAUCUCCCUACAUCUCUGCAUCACAAGGCAAGAGGGAUAGUGGGGUUAAGGUGUCCUUUGAUCUCUGCACUGAGGCACUCCCAUGUUCCUUGAUACACUGCCCACAUGUGAUAGUUAUGCGUAUUUUCAUUGUUUUCCGAAACAUGCAGAGAAUAAACCUGCUAAUUUCAUUACACUAAUGUUCCAAGGCAUGGUAUUAAGUCAAUUUUCAUAAAGGUUCGCACGCCAAGGCUGCUAUAGCUUUUUAUACUUUGUUCACCCUGAAAACGAGUGUCAGCUAAUUUGAACUAGGAGUACUGGGGUUGGAAUAUAGGGGAUCAAUAGCAGAACAGCAGCAUUGAUUUCUUUUCUUGGGGAUCCUCUGUGACCUGCGUCACUUGUGCUGUGCAGCUGCCUUAUAGACAAGGUACAGAAAUAUAUUAGUUCACCUUACCUUUUUUUCAUCCUCUCCCGCUGACUUACUCAAGCUCAAAUAGUAAGCCUUUUGGGGAACUGAAAGUUGAGAAUCUUGUAAUUUAUUACCUACUCACCACUCCUCCUGCUUCUCCCUGUGUAUUUCUGACUGGUGUUAUUGCUACCAAUUAUAUAUAUAUAUUUAUAAUCCAGGACCUCAAAUGAUUUCAUUAAAGGAAUAUGAAUUUCUGCAAUCAAUUAACUGUUUUCUCCAAUGCAAUAUUAGUUACAAAUUAGGAGACAGACCUUAGAUUACCAGCAACUAAUGAGUAAUAAUAUUGUUGUUGUUUAGUCGUUUAGUCGUGUCUGACUCUUCAUAACCCCAUGGACUAAAGCAUGCCAGGCUCUCCUGUCUUCCACUGCCUCCCGCAGUUUGGUCAAAGUCAUGCUGGUAGCUUCGAGAACACUGUCCAACCAUCUCAUCCUCUGUCUUCCCCUUCUCCUAGUGCCCUCAGUCUUUUCUAACAUCAGGGUCUUUUCCAGCGAGUCUUCUCUUCCCAUGAGGUGGCCAAAGUAUUGGAGCCUCAGCUUCACGAUCUGUCCUUCCAGUGAGCACUCAGGGCUGAUUUCCUUAAGAAUGGAUAGGUUUGAUCUUCUUGCAGUCCAUGGGACUCUCAAGAGUCUCCUCCAGCACCAUAAUAAUAUUAUUAUUCAUCCUCUCCCACUAACUCACUGAAGCUCAAAUAGUAAGCCUUUUGGGAAAUUGAAAGUUGAGAAUUAAUAAUAUCAAUACAAGUAUAUGCUGCAGACAAGCCACUAACUGUAUCCAAGGUUUGUUUUUGGUUUUACAGCUCUUCAGCUUGUCCUGGAGGAGACAAACCACAAGUCUGGGUUCAGAUGACUUGCUAAGCCAAAUCGUGGCUUUAUCUCACAGCAAAACAACAGCAGCAGGAGAACCAGGGGGAGAAAGCAGUAGCUGCAAGCUCUGGUUUCGCUUAGCACUACAUGUGAACCACCAUUAUAUACUGUGUAGUAUAUAAUCCACUAUUCAGUAACAGCAAUGUACGAUAUCUUCACAUUAGAUCUGGAAAUGUUUUACAACUACAUGGAUUUCAGUGGUCAGGAUCCAGAAUCUCAACGCCUUUUCUCCAUCAUUGCUCUUCGUUGUAUCUAUGCUCCCACUGUCUCCAGUUUCUGUGCUCUUUGCUUCAGUUCUCACAAAAUAUUUUUUUUAAAAAAGAAUUAUAGGCUUCUAAUGCUGAUCUUAGAAGUCAGAAAUGUCAUCGCCAAAAGAGAUUCAGUUAGCAUUAUGAUGGUUUAUGUGCUGAGAGGGAGAAUUACAUGGCUGGUGAGGAGAUGGGAAUGGGAACGUAAACUGAAUGGAUAAUAGAUCGAGAGCAAAAGGGAAGUAAGUCAAUACUAGUACGUCUAUGUAAAUGACCUGGGUUGGACUAGAUGACCCUUCUGGCCUUUUCCAACUCAAUAAUUCUAUUACUCUACCAGUUGCUGGGGAGUAAACGCCAAAGAAAGGCUUCUGGGGAAACCAUCAAGCUGGCAGUGGUUGGAUUAAGGAUGGAAAUGUUGGUCUUAUUCAGCAAAGUACUCAUAGAGACAUAAAACCAUAGAGUUGGAAGGGACCUUGUUCUCAACAUUGCAUUUAUACUGAGCUCUGGAUGGUACCAAUGGAAAUAAUGCAAGUCAAAAGUACAAAUUAUUGAAACAGGCACCAAUUUUCACUAUGCAGUCAGGUUUCACAACACUGGUUGCUUUUAAUUUUUCACUUGCCCUAACUCUCAAGCUUUUUAUUAGUAACAAAAAUCCUGAAAAUAUAAAAUAAAUUCAAGGCUUAUAGAAAGCCAGUGCUUUACUAAUGUCAUACUAAUUAACAAUCAGUGAAUGCCUGCCCAAUUUUAAAUUAUUAUUAUUUUUAAUGGCUGGAACAGGAAGUUGGCAGGGGCUUGUGAGCCUAAACGGGUUAUGUGACAUAUUGGAUUUGGACCUGGGAGACAUCGCACAGUGUUGUUAUUGCUGUGACUGUUCGUGUGAGCCAUGUGCUGUGCUUUGAAUUUAACUAUUAAGCAGUGGUUAAAAUUAAUCCUGUGUGCAGUUACCAAGGGAGAAAGCAGGCCAGAGAUGUCAAUAAAUCUAGUGUGGUUUGAAGCAAAUGCCACUAAAUCUUAGUUCUUUGACUGCUCUCUGGUAGUGUCAAGAGCUGCUCAGCAAGACGAAUUUGAGGGAGGGGUGAAAAAGGUACGAUAUUAAACCACAGCGCUGAUAAGUUUAGUUAAGAGGCAGGAGACGUGUCCUUGCAGUGACAUUCAGUGGCUGAUAUUUGUUUCCCUUUAAAUAAUAUGCUGUACAUCUGUGAGAAUGAUGGCUUGGUGUUUGUGACAUUGCAUCUCCACCAAGGUUACUGGCUCCAGGACAAGCAGUCUCUCCUCUCUCCCUUUCUCUCACACCCUGUCAAUAAAUAUCCACUUGUCUGAGAAAGUGAGAUACAGAUUUUACAGCUGACACCAGAGCAUCUUCAUUUCCAGAAGCAAUGAGUUUCAACACGUGAACGUGAAAGAGUGAGUGUGCGUGUAUGUGUGUGUGUGUGUUUUGGGGGCGGGAGGAAUAAAAGGGAUAUAUCUUUCAAGUCUGUCUUGUCAAAGAAAACCGUUAUCCCUUUCAGACAACAAAGCUCAAAGUCUGGCAACUAUGCAACCAGGCUACCUUCCCCCCCAAAAAUGAACACUCCCACCUCACUACCAUUUAAUAAAUGCUUAUUGUUAAACCCUAGUUUCUAUAGACCACUGUGUUUAAAUUUUAUCUCCUUUAGAAUGAAGCAUUCUUCACAGCUGGCUUUUUUUAAUGCCAAAAACGAAGGCUGCCCAACUCAUCAUGUCCAAAAUAAAAGGCUAUUUGAUUGUGUUCUCAGGUUCUGGGUAUUCUGAAUCAGAGUUCGGUUCACCCACAAACUUCAUGAGAGCACUGUUCCAAUCCAUGGUAGUGUAGUAAUGGCAAAGGGUGGAAGGUCUACCAUUGUAACAGGAAAGAUGCAUCAUUUUAGAGUCAUAGCUCUAAAAGCAUCACAAUGGGAAAUCUCUAAUGAGGCACUUUUUUGUGCUGCUUUUUGUUUUCCCACUAGUGCACAAUGCACAGAUAAUGCUUUUACCCUCAAGUGUCCCAAUAUUAAUUCACCCUCAAACAGUUAUGCACAAACUUCCAGUUGCUGCGAAGAAUAUCGUACUUAUACACGUUUCUUAUUUAUGUUCUUAUUUUAAAAAUUAAUGUGGAUAUCUAACCCCCCCUUUCCAAAUCCUUGCAUUGUUCUUUGGGAUCCUAGUGGCACAUUACUGCAUUUGAUUAAGUACACUCACUCCCACAGGUGAACUUCUGUGUACUUGACACUGCUGUGGUGAGAUGUUCAUAGGGCCUCUGUAGAAAUUGCUGGCUGUCAAUUCAUGUAUUUGAAGACCCACCAAGAAAUGUGGUAGCAACAGAGGUUGGCUAUGGCCUUGAAUCAGAUGGUGCUUUUUUUAAAAAGCACUCUUCAGUGUAAUGACUGAGAAUAAUAAAAAUAAAAGCUUUUAGGAGUGGAUUGAAUGGCAGCCCAUCCUCUGGCCCCAUGGUGGGCCAGAUGGUGGGCCAGAAGUGGGGAGCAGCUGCAUGUAAAAAACAGGGAUGAAUUCUCAUAUGGAAGAUAAAGCCUCCACUGGCUGUGUGUCCACAGCAAGUUCCAGAUGGGGAACAGCAAGUGAGAAUGACAGAGAAGGAUAAAUAGAAUACUUGUGGGUGCAGGUAGAGGUAAGGAAAAUGGAGAGGUGAGAGAAGGGGGCAGGGCAGGAAGUAACGGCAGUAUAGAGACAGAACAGAAUGGAGAGAGAAAAGAAGACCAUAGCUGCCAAACCUUUCCCAAGAGAGAAGGGGAACAGAUUAGCAGAAGAAUAGGUGAAGGUCUGUGGCAAGCCAGUGGUGAGCCAAGAAGGUGGAGACAGAAGAGUGAGGUAGGCGGGGUCCCCACUGUACGGAAAACUCAGGAAUUACCAGGAGGUAAUGAACCUUUUGUAAUAAGCGAAAUACAGAUAGUGUCUUGGAUCAACCGAGUCAGGGGCUCACCAGGUGAGGAGCUUGCCAGACAUCUGGGGGUCUGAAGAUUCUUGGAACUUAAAAGAGAAAGGAUGGUAGCACUCACAAUAGCUUUAAAAGAUGAAAAUACAUAUAUUAUACAAUCAAAAUACCACAAUAAAAUGCAUAACCGGAACAGAGCAUAAAAUCUAACAGGAACCACAAUCCAUUCAUUUAGUUGAAUUAAAAGCUAAAACCAUCUUUAAAAGCUAAAACAGGUCAGCUGCAAUAAAACACAGCAGCAGAAAUUAGUAAGAGUCUUAUAUGAUGUUAAAUCAGAAUGGGAGGGUGUGAAAAAGGUUCAAGAGAACAAAACAGCCUGGUGCUGAAAAGACAGUAAGGUUGGUGCCUGGCAAGUGUCUCUAGGCUGGGCUUUGGUCCCCAAAUGCUGUUGGACUACAACCUCCAUCAUCCCUAGCUAGCAGGACCAGUGGUCAGGGAUGAUGGGAGUUGUAGUCCAACAACAUUUGGGGACCCAAGGUUGAGAUAUGCUGCCCAGUGGUGAAGUUGUGGAAGUGCUCAAUCAACAUCAGGAAUAGAUGUUAGGGCUAGCAAACUGAAGCCCAGUCCAGACAAGGUGGAAAUGGUGAAUGGUUCAUUCUCCUUUGGUGGUUUUCAACUCAUUCUGGAUGAGUUUUCACUCCCCUCUUUAAAAGAUUGUUUGAGGGUAUGCUUUUAGCUAGGCCUUGUCUUCAGAUGCUCAAGGGACAUCUGUGGUGCAAAGUGCCUUCCUCCAGUUGUGGCCUCUUCUCAGGAGGAGGCCUUGCAGUCAGUUACACAAAUUUUUAUUGUGUGCUAAGCAAGAAAUAGCAGCAGUAUUGAUGAUAUGGGCUAUUCCUAUUAAAACUGGAUUCAUAUGGUAUGAGCUAAGAUUUAACAAAACUGACAAAUGGUCAAAGUCAGAAAUGGAAGCGAGUUAUUUUGUACCUCUGAAACCAAGUGGAAAUUAUUUAUUUAUAUUGUUAUUUAGGCAGCUAAGAAACAGUGCUUCAUCGCUAGGCAUCUCCUUAAGUUCAGUUUUGUUUUGUAAGCAAUUUAUUAUUUUUGAAGUAAGUAUAAUAGAGUUGCUUUUUGUUUAUUUUUAAUUAGCAGCUAUAACUGAAUUGUGAUUAAUGUAAUUGUAGUUAUUGUAAAAUCUGCUCUUUAAAUUAAAAGGGGGUGGCAAGUGUGGUUGUCGAUGGCACUAGUUGCCAUUGGUGAACUGCAGCCUUCACUGAACGAGGUUGGCUGCCUUAUUUGCUCUUGUUUUAGAGUACUUGACCAUAGGUCCACCAUCCAUUUGAUAACUGAGAGUAAUCCUGUGUGUUCAGGUUAUCAAGUGAUCAUUAUAAUUACCAUCUGAAUAAUGCAGAAUGUGAACUCACCUGCAAAUGCAAAAUGGAACUGCAUUGCAUUGGGUUGUAUUUGCUAGCCGAAAAGGAGUUGUGUAGUAAACAGAUGUUUUCACCAUGUUGCUUGUGAAUUUUCACCCACUCUUCCUCCAACCUGACUUGGUCUCCCUGCCCCAGUGUUCUAAUUUAGAACACUGUAAAUAGCUGGAACCCAUUAUUGCUAUUUUCUCCCAACUAUUUUGUUUACACCUAACAGGAACUAUGCAUAUAAACUGCAAGAGUGGUAGCAUUAUGAAUUACUGCCAAGCACAUGAAUUUUAAACAAUGGCAUGAGACCCUGACCCAGUUAGCUGCUCUUUAAGGUGUAAUGUUACAGUUGCUAGUGCUGAUUUAGGAGGUUGUUUUCUACAUUUUGGCAUAGGCCUAACAGACCCUAUGGCACAAAAGACGGCCUUGACAGUUUAUGGAGUCUAAUAAUUAGGUUUCAGGGAGACUAAUCACACAUUUUCAACUGCUGUUUUGG
rnacentral:lncRNA from 1 species